AGUUUUGUUGUACUAAUUUGAUUUGGGUACUAAAAUUGUUAUGUCUAGUGGAAAUUAUAGCAUGUUUAUAUACAAAUUAAUCAGUAUGUUACAAGAAUCCCAAGAAUGUUAAUUAUAUUCACCCGGGUCAUUUCCCGGCCGGGAAAAAAUGCGCCACAGACCCGGGCGCCAACCGUCGGUGUCGCCGGGCUUUAUCUUAAGUAAUAUCACAGACAAAAGUUAGAAUUUAAUUUGCAUUGCUAAAAUCGUUACAAGACGGCUAAUAAUUUUAACAUAAACGUUGUAUAUUUUGCACAAGAGAUAAAAAUUUGUAGCCCUUUGUAAUAAAAUUAGUUACAACUAAAAUUUGUAUGUGAACUAUAGCAUGUUUAUAUUCAAAGUAAUCACAAUUUUAUAAGAAUUCCAGCAAUGUUAAUUAUAUUCUUCCAAGUCAGUUUAGUGAUAUUUCAUAAGAGAAAACCUGAAAGUCACUGUUAAGGACAGAUAAAUAAAUAAGCUCUAGACCUUGGCAUCAACUGUCAAACCGAUAACCCUCCUCCCCAUCUUGCCGCGAAUCCGAUCACGAGUAAACGGGCCAUUUCGCGUCUCGUAAUUUUAGCCGCGUCGAUUUACGAGCGUCCGUUUUAACGCGAUACUACAAAAACGAUGUUUUGUAGGAGAUGGGCCGAGGUGCAUUUGGGUAUAUUGGGUCUUUUUAGUAUUUUGUGUUAGUCUCGAGUACCAAAGUAAAUUGUUCCAUUGAAACCACUUUAAUUGAGUCCAAAUUUGGUUUAAAGCUAUUAGCUCUCUAGGAAUGCGCCUCGCGUCACCGACGCGUACGCGGGACCGGUAACAAUUUUACGUAAACGCGUCGACGACGUAAUAUUCGACAAUGCCGUCGGGUCGUCGACGUGCCGUUUCUUCGUUUAGUAAAUAGUCGUGGCGAUUUUUGUCGCGCGCGUGUCCGUCGACGGGCACGCCGAGGGCGGUCCGUCCGCGGAUGCGGGCCCGCUCGAGAUUCGGCCCGUAUUGCGCAGUCGUACGGUCCGUCGUCGUUUGCGAGAAGUACUCGUUUACGUAGUCUCGCGUGCAGUAUAUUGCAUUUUCUAGCAAUAGACUAGUUACGAUCGUAGAUUAGUUCCAUCACGUAGGGUAUCGUCUCGCCGUCGGCCCGGGACACACCUCCGGCCACUCGACACUCUGCUUACCGGUACACGACACAAAUUAAAAAUGAUCAACACGAUAUUUUACGAGGGCAUUAUGAUUGAUUUAUAAUACCCUAUGCAAUGGUUGUAUAGAUGUAGUGCAGUAUAAUUAUUAAAUGCAGGCAGCAUUCACAUCACAAACUUAACCCACAGAAGAAGUCGCCUCGGGCAGCGGAAGCGCGAUCCGGGAGAAGGACACGAAGAACGACCGUAGAUCGUCGCUCCGGAGACGGGUCGGCGAGUGCCGCUCUCCGACGCGAGACGAUCGUCGAGAAUAACCUACGUGUUUUUCUAUUUUUAUGGAUGCUAUUUUAAGGAUAACUAAAGCUCAGUCAACGGUUAUUUUAGCUUAAGGUCAUAUUAUACGUGUAUUUGUAAUGUACAGUAUUUCAUUGAGUAAGAAUGCUAAAACUUGCCCGGCGGUCGACCCCCAAAACAACUGCGGCGACCCGCUCCGGCACUCGAGAAGACGGGAGCUCCGAGUACACGACGUUAAAGAUUAACGGAUAGUUUGACGACUAUACCACCCCUUGUUCCCUCUACCUCCAGCUAAAUGUAUCCCUCCCUCCACUUACCACUCUUCCUUUCCUCAUCUAUUAUCUUUCCCUUCCACCCCUCUAUCCCACCAUCUGUCCCCCCUCCCUUUCUUCACGUACCAUUCUUCCUUUCCUUAUCUAUUAUCCUUCCCUUCCACCCCUCUAUCCCUUCCCUCCACAUACCACCUUUCUCUCCUAGCACCUGUCGUUCCUUUUUUGUGUUUUAUUUAAUAAGUUUUAUAGUAUAUGAUGGUCACCUUAUUAAUAAUGUACCAUUUUGUGUGAUUACAAUUACACUACACACACUUAGUCGAAGUGACCAGUUAUUAGUGUUGAUAUUAAUGGGAUAAAUAUUAGAUAAGUUUAUUGGAGUUUGCUAUAAAAUAUGUGACUAUAAUUAUAAAUUGUGAGUGUGAAGAAGGGUUUAUAAGUUGUAUAUAUGUCAAUUAGAGGAACAAAUAAUUUGCUAACCACACCCUAGUCCUUCAAUGGAAAACGCAUCGAAAUGCGCAGCGGCGAAUGCAUUCGGCGGGAGAAUAAUGCGGCGACACGCGUAGAAUACUCGUACGCCACUCUCGGGCACGUACGUUUCCAUUUACUAAAGUUAGGUGGGUUUGUUUGGGUGGCGUGGGACCCAGAGGGCAUCGGCAGGCGGUCGCGUCCGGCGGUUGCCGUGCGAGAAAUUGGGAGGACGGGCUUUCACGUUGCAGAAACUAAGGAACGGCAUCUUCCGGCGGAACCACAGCCCGCGAUUAAAGGAACGCUCGGGUUUGACGCCCACGGACCGAGCGCGCGGCUCCUCCGCCGUAACAAGAGUAGUCGAUUGAAGUCCCCUCUUUUGCCUGGGUGGAUGUGUCUGUGCUAACCGUUUUAGGCAAGUGAAUGUUUGGUACAGCAGAUUUGGGGAUUCAUUGUAGGGUAGACUUGCCAUACAGUGCAGUGUUUUAAUUGGUAUUAUAUUGCGGCGAUCGGCGAGCACGGAGACCGAAGCCUCACUCGACCGUGUCUCGGGAGGCGUGGGGUUUGGUCCGAGGCCACUCGCAGUCAUCGUCGAGGGUAUAGUCCGGAACGCCGUUCGACGUGACGUCUCGUCGAAAUUCCGGAGCGGUCUUCUCGUCGCGGGGCGCGCCGGAGGUCGACGCUACGACGUUCCCGGAGGGGUCGUCGUCGUCGUCGUCGGGUAUUUGACGUGCAUCCGGAGUAGAACGAGGGCACGCGUCGAACCGUCGAAAGUGCGCAAGAAAUGAGAUCGCGUAAAUAACGGCAGAUUAAUUUCGUCGACACUCGUACGUAUAAGAGUGCAAAGUAAAUAAAUAAUACGUAUUUUUUUUAUGGGAAUUAGCCCACCCGGGCACGGGUCACCGACCCACAUCGGGGCGAAAAUGUAAUAAUAAUAAUAAUAAUUGUUGAAGUUACAGUGUUCAUUUUUGGUGGAUAUCAACGAAAUAUGAUGCGAGAGGCUCAGACGACGACACAAACGACGACGCUCUCUCCGGUAUAUUUUCGGGACCGUCCGUAAAAACGAAACCAAAACACGCGUGCGCAUUCAAAGUGGCGCAUUAUUGCACAAGUAAAAUAAAACAUAUUGCCAUAAAUAUGGGGUAACCUAGUUUAUAUGUAACAAUAAUACUGAAGAACCUUAAAGAAAUACAAAAUGGAAAAAAAAAUCAAAAGUGAGGAACAAUAGAUUUAUGUUGUGUUGUCAAUAGUAAGAGAAACAAUCGAGACAGAGAGUCAGACGAGCGACCCGGGACUCGGUCACAAUUUUAGGGAUGCCACGUAGCAGGAAGAUCUACCACGGACGACACAUUACGCUUCCAAUAUUGUCUGCGGAGGUGGUAUCUCCCCGUUUGGUGGCUGCCUAAGUAUGUAAGAUUUUCCAAUGGAAAGUGUAUGUUUGGCAAAUGUAUCCAGGUCUUUAGAGAAUGUACUCAGAUAUUUGGGUUAGGUGUCAAGGGUUCAUGUAUAAUUUGCAUGCCUAAUUGACUAUGUAUAUUUUUUAACCUUAAUUUUUCAUUUGCAGUCAGAAACGUCAUUUUUGUGCGGACCGGCGACUCGACGGACCCCGGCCGAGGACGCCGCUCGAACCGCGGUUGCGGAGGAGCGCGCCGAUACGAGUCGGAGACGGCUCGUACAGUCGGCGCACGAGAGCGGUCCGGACGAAGACAUUCGGGAACCGAGGACGAAGGCGCUCGUCGACUGCGGACGAAGACACCGGUCGACGCGCGAGGAAGAUGCUCCGGAACACGGGAAGAACGCCACACUCCCGAGUGCGGGAAGACACUCGUCAACGCAGAAGGAGACACGCAUCAAUGUCGGGCCGGCGCGAUUGUUUUAAAGACGAUUUAACGUGUAAAAUGAAUGUACGUGUUGUUUGUAACGAUUGUUAUAAUGUUUGUAGUAUUGUUUUUAGAGACCGACUCUGCGAAGACGGAGGAAGUCGAUACAUGUCGAGAAUGAAUUUAUUGAAGAUGUUGCCUGUGAUCACUAGGUGUUUGCACUAAUUUGGGGAGAUGAUUACGAUCGUAGAACGUCACGGAAUGCGGCGCGCAUCCGUAAAUAACGGCAGCAUAAAUACGAGAGAACGCGGCGGCGGCGGCGGGGAAGUGCGCCUUUUGAAAGUAAAAGAACGGGGGAGAUCGGACCGACAUAGAUGGUGUUGUUGUGGUAACCGAUAAGAAUGGAGAAAUGAUGACUAUUUGGUGGGUUUUUUAGGACAGAGAGAGUAGUUAUAUAUUAGUGAAGAUAUAAAGUAAAAGGUGAUAAGGAUGGUGGUGGGGGGGACAACGAAUGAUAUAUUUUGUAGGGUAUUAAAGGAAUUGACUCGUCAGUGCCGAGUCGGCGUAAUUGUGAGAAACGGAUGCGACGGGGAUUUUAAAGAAGUUGCGGGGAAAUUGGCGGAAGCGACGAUCGCAAUAACCUUUCGACGUGGGACGGACGACGACGAAUUUAGUAAAUGGCGGUUUAGGAAAGGGUCGUACGUAAAGCGGCGGGUGCGGGCGCGUGCGGAUACGGACGACGGUCGAUCGGGGUCCGUUUACGGGACGGGAAAGAGGACCGACGGAGAACGGACGGGAAUUCGGACGGAGACGAGGCGGCGCACAAACGAAAGUAUACCCGCGAGAUGCGUAAAGAAUGAUUUGGAA